rnacentral:rRNA from 1 species
AUUGAACGCUGGCGGCAGGCCUAACACAUGCAAGUCGAGCGGAUGAAGGGAGCUUGCUCCUGGAUUCAGCGGCGGACGGGUGAGUAAUGCCUAGGAAUCUGCCUGGUAGAGGGGGAUAACGUCCGGAAACGGGCGCUAAUACCGCAUACGUCCUGAGGGAGAAAGUGGGGGAUCUUCGGACCUCACGCUAUCAGAUGAGCCUAGGCCGGAUUAGCUAGUUGGUGGGGUAAAGGCGUACCAAGGCGACGAUCCGUAACUGGUCUGAGAGGAUGAUCAGUCACACUGGAACUGAGACACGGUCCAGACUCCUACGGGAGGCAGCAGUGGGGAAUAUUGGACAAUGGGCGAAAGCCUGAUGCAGCCAUGCCGCGUGUGUGAAGAAGGUCUUCGGAUUGUAAAGCACUUUAAGUUGGGAGGAAGAGCAGUGAGAUAAUACCUUGCUGUUUUGACGUUACCAAAAGAAUAAGCACCGGCUAACUUCGUG